ensembl:misc_RNA Y_RNA Y RNA
GGCUGGUCUGAAUGUAGAGUUAUUUCAGUUGAUUGUUCAGUCAGUUACAGAUAGAAUUCCUUGUUCUACCUCCCCCACCCACCUCACUACUGCAGUUGACUAGUCUUUU